rnacentral:rRNA from 1 species
UACGGAGGAAGCUAGCGUUGUUCGGAAUUACUGGGCGUAAAGCGCACGUAGGCGGCUUUGUAAGUUAGAGGUGAAAGCCCGGAGCUCAACUCCGGAACUGCCUUUAAGACUGCAUCGCUUGAAUCCAGGAGAGGUGAGUGGAAUUCCGAGUGUAGAGGUGAAAUUCGUAGAUAUUCGGAAGAACACCAGUGGCGAAGGCGGCUCACUGGACUGGUAUUGACGCUGAGGUGCGAAAGCGUGGGGAGCAAACAGG